rnacentral:RNase_P_RNA from 1 species
UGGCGUGGACAGGCGGCCGCCGGCGUUGCAAGACGCACGGAGGAAAGUCCGAACACGACAGGACACGGUGACGGGCAACACCCGCCGACUCCGGUCGUGGAGUCAGGGAAAGUGCCACAGAAAACACACCGCGAAGGGCGCAAGCCCCCGCAAGGGUGAAAAGGUGCGGUAAGAGCGCACCGCCCGGGUGGCGACAUCCGGGGCAGGGCAAACCCCACCGCGUGCAAGCGCAAGCAGUUCCCGGGCGUUUCGGCGCCGGUCCCGGUCCGGGGCUUCGCAAGACGGGAGCGGGUCGCGUGCUUCAGGCGUCCGGCAACGGACGUCGCAGAGAAAUGGUCGCCGCGGGCUCCGAUCGGGGCUCGACAGAAUUCGGCUUACGUCCACGCCACGAC